CAAUAGCGUAUAUUAAAGUUGUUGCGGUUAAAAAGCUCGUAGUUGGAUUUCUGCUGAGGAUGACCGGUCCGCCCUGUGGGUGUGCAUCUGGCUCAGCCUUGGCAUCUUCCUGAAGAACGUAGCUGCACUUGACUGUGUGGUGCGGUAUUUAGGACAUUUACUUUGAGGAAAUUAGAGUGUUUCAAGCAAGCGCACGCUUUGAAUACAUUAGCAUGGAAUAAUAAGAUAGGACCUUGGUUCUAUUUUGUUGGUUUCUAGAGCUGAGGUAAUGAUUGAUAGGGAUAGUUGGGGGCAUUCGUAUUUAACUGUCAGAGGUGAAAUUCUUGGAUUUGUUAAAGGCGGACUACUGCGAAAGCAUUUGCCAAGGAUGUUUUCAUUGA
rnacentral:rRNA from 1 species